rnacentral:rRNA from 1 species
UAAUGUAUGGGGAUCUGCCCGAUAGAGGGGAAUAACUACUGGAAACGGUGGCUAAUACCGCACAAUGUCUACGGACCAAAGCAGGGGCUCUUCGGACCUUGCACUAUCGGAUGAACCCAUAUGGGAUUAGCUAGUAGGUGGGGUAAAGGCUCACCUAGGCGACGAUCUCUAGCUGGUCUGAGAGGAUGAUCAGCCACACUGGGACUGAGACACGGCCCAG